rnacentral:rRNA from 1 species
AUACGGAGGAUCCGAGCGUUAUCCGGAUUUAUUGGGUUUAAAGGGAGCGUAGGUGGAUUGUUAAGUCAGUUGUGAAAGUUUGCGGCUCAACCGUAAAAUUGCAGUUGAAACUGGCAGUCUUGAGUAAAGUAGAGGUGGGCGGAAUUCGUGGUGUAGCGGGGCAAUGCUUAGAUAUCACGAAGAACUCCGAUUGCGAAGUCAGCUCACUAGACUGUUACUGACACUGAUGCUCGAAAGUGUGGGUAUCAAACAGGAUUAGAUACCCUGGUAGUCCACACAGUAAACGAUGAAUACUCGCUGUUUGCGAUAUACAGUAAGCGGCCAAGCGAAAGCAUUAAGUAUUCCACCUGGGGAGUACGCCGGCAACGGUGAAACUCAAAGGAAUUGGCGGGG